CCAAUAGCGUAUAUUAAAGUUGUUGCAGUUAAAAAGCUCGUAGUUGCAUUUCGGGAUCAGUACGCUGGUCGUGCCUUCGGUAUGCACUGGUGUCACUGGUUCCUCCCUUCUGAAGAACCGCGAUGUCAUUAAUUUGGUGUCGUGGGGAAUCAGGACUGUUACUUUGAAAAAAUUAGAGUGUUUAAAGCAGGCUUACGCUUGAAUACAUUAGCAUGGAAUAAUGAAAUAGGACGUUUGAUUCUAUUUUGUUGGUUUCUAGGAUUGACGUAAUGAUUAAUAGGGAUAGUUGGGGGCAUUAGUAUUCAAUUGUCAGAGGUGAAAUUCUUGGAUUUAUUGAAGACUAACUACUGCAAAAGCAUUUGCCAAGGAUGUUUUCAUUAAUCAAGAACGAAAGUUAGGGGAUCGAAGACGAUCAGAUACCGUCGUAGUCUUAACCAUAAACUAUGCCGACUAGGGAUCGGAUGAUGUUAAUUUUUUAAUGACUCAUUCGGCGCCUUACG
rnacentral:rRNA from 1 species